GCAAUUGACUCUAAUAACCCUGAUUCUCAUUGCAUUUUGGAUAAAGAGAAGGGCCUUGCUGAGGUCAUUUGCAUUUGCUGUGGCCUCCACUUUUGCUCCUCCAGAGGACCUCCACAUUGCUGGCUUCUUAUUGGCUUCUCUUCCUGAAAAGCUUUGGUGGAGAGAUGAACGUGGAUCUUGUCUACUUUGUCAACUGCUAUAUUCCUGGUUGUCAGAAGGGUGCACAUGAUAUAAAGAAGAAGACAAUUAGCACGUGGGGAGUCCACAAGACAUUUUGAUAUGAAAUGUGGGUCCUUCUUCUUGACAAGGUGGGAAUAUGCUGCUCUAGCAAGAUUGCAGUGAUGAAUCCCAGGGAUGCACACCUACCUACCGAGAGACCUCCAAACAGAGACAUCAACACAGAAACCUCCGCAGAGAUAACCGGAUCUCCAUAUUGCAAACCCAUGCAAAAAGUAACCUAGAGAAACAGACGCCCAGAUGAAGAAGGCUGUGAGUACAAGCUUUGGUUUCCAGCAGAUUCUUGGCUGACAUUUCUGUCAGUGAUGUGAAAGGACAUUUACCCAGAUUCUAUAGAUAUUUUGGUUAUGCACUCAACAAACCUACAAUGAAACUACCAGCAUACAAAAGCAAUUGUGAACUCCAGAGAGUGCUAGAAAACGUUAUGGACGGGGGUAUGGUUUAUGUUAAUUAUAGAGGACUAAAGAGAUGUAAAAUAGGAGAACUGAAAAAGCCUCCAAUUCCAGUGGCUCUUCGCGUGUAAUUACUCCAAGGGGCAGCAAGCUGCCUUCUAGCAGAAUCCUUGUGAUCCCAAAGCCUGCGUGAGCGGGGCCCCUCUCUAGUGCUUUAUACAGUAAUUAAUAUUUAAAUGAUCUUGCUAAAGCCCUGUCAAGUCCUGAAGCAAGAUUUUGAAAAACAAACAAACAAACAAAACCCAUAAAACACAAAAUGGAACAAAAAAAUGAGCUCUGAGUUUGCUCUGUUGAAAGCAAUGGGUGGAAUUGCAUCUCCCCAUAAUAUGUAUGUUGAAGUCCUAACCUCCAGUACCUUAGGGUGUGACCUUAUUUGGAGAUGCAGACAUUACAAAAGUAAUCAAGUUAAAGUGAGGUCAUUGGGAUGGGCCCUAACCUGAUACAACUGGUAAUUUGGACACAGACACGUUCAGGCAGAACACCAUGUGAACAUAAAAGUGGUCAUCCACAAGCCAAAUGGGAGAGGCCUGGAACAGAUCCUUCCCUCACAGGCCUCAGCAGGAACCAACCCUGCUAACAUCUUGAGCUUGUACUUCUGGCCCCCAGAACUGUGAGACAACAAAUUUGUGAUCUUUUGUUACAAUAACCCUAGCAAAAUACACUGUGACACCCAGUUUCUAAUCUGAUGACAAAGGGAGGCAUCUAUAGUCUCUGAGGAUGUGUGUAUUUGGGCACUCAUUUCACCACUGUCCCACCACCAUUUAUGUCCUAUUCUUUGUUUUCCAUUUGUUUCAUCUUUCUAAUUUUAUCUUCUGUUUUUAAAAAAGUUUACCGUACUAGACAUAACUUUAUACGCUGUCUGAAAUUCGUCUCAGGUUUACAAAUGAUAUAAAUUCGUAAACAAAGAUUAUCUGACCUUAAGCACAUAUGGCAUACAUGGUUGGGAUGAAACAACUAACUAGCAAAAUAUUACUUUAUAAAACAAAUUAAACAGCAAAAAAUUAAAUAGUAAACUCCAACUGUUCUGGACCAUUGGAGGAGGAACUGCAAGGGAUGACGAAGAUUUCAUAGAGCAAAUGAUUUCUGCACUCUGGGAAAGAAUUCUUCAGGCAGCACACCACUUUAAAAUGGUGCUUGACUCACCAGAACAUCAGGGCUGUCUUCAACUUUUCACAACACAGAGCAGAGAGAGAGGAAGAUCACUUCCAGAUGGAGUGUGGCAGGAAUUUUGUGAAGUGUAUGAAGAAGUUAGCAAGUGUAUAAAGAAGAUAGCCAUUUACUAAGCAUCUGCUAUGUAGCAGGCACUCUGCUAGACAUUUGUUAUGGAAUGAAUCAUUUAAUCCUUAUAAUAAAUUUGCAAAGAUAUAUUUUAGCCCACCCGCAUUUAAAACCAAUAAAUAUGUGGCUUAGAAAAGUAAAUUAACUUGUCUAAGAGCAAGUAAUUAGUAAAAAGUUGAGCUAAGAUUUGAUAUAAACAAAAAUCUGAUCUAAACUUGACAAGAUUUCUGCUUCUCCAAAUUGCCUCCUUAAAGUUUACACACUGUUUGGUCUCUUCCAUACACAUCAAAAUUAUCAAUACCUAUAGAAAUGUCUGAUGAGAAGUCGUCCUUUAAAUUAGAAUAUUUAGGAACUUUAGGCCCAGAGACUAAAAAGUAUGUGAAAUUAGUAUAAAAGUAUGUAAAAUGUUUGUGAAGAAAUGAUGAUGCUUUCGUAGACCAAUGCGGCAUGUAAAACAUGGGCCACAGAGGAAGAUUAAGAAAAAAAAAUAUGCAAUCAUAAUAAUAAAAGUGGAGUUACUCCAGACUAUGCUUUUUGCCAAUUCCUUAGUGAGAAGGGAUUGAUAGUUAAUUAUAGAACCACUUUCUAUAUUAAUUCUAGAUAUUAUAUUCUAAUCCUUAGAAAGUAGACUGUGGAAGGACUAAUAAUUGCCCUCCAGGACCCAAUCUCUUCUUCUCAUAAGAGAAUUUAUGGUUGCCCAGCUAAAGCUUCUAUUUUGCAGCAUUCUUUGCAGAUAGAUAUAGCUAUGGACUCAGUUCUGGCCAGUGGACUCUGAAUAAAGGUACUGUGUGACACUGUUGGCUGUGCUCUAAAGCUAAGGGAUGUGUCAUCUCAUCCCCUGUGCUCCCUUUGUUGGCUGGGAAGCUGGCAGGGUGAUAGGAGUUAAGCCAGCCAUUACAGACUUUCAGACGGAAACCAGUUGUUGAGGAUGAGAGAGCAACAUAAAGAAGACCCUCAAGAUUGUGGGGCUAAUUUACCAGCCUGAAUUGCUAACCUGCGUUUUUGUAUUACAGGAAAAUAAAGUGUGUGUUUUUAAAGCCACAGUUAUUUUGAGUCUCAUUGUAACUGCAGCCAAACCAAUAUUCUAAUGAAUAAACUAUAUUCUAACUAAUAAUUAAACAGAACACUC